GUCGUUUCUCACGCGUACGAAACAGGUACCGUCAUCACAAGCACGACUGUCAACAGGCAGAUAUGAAAAGGUUUCCCUCUCCUGUGUGUAAUACUUUGAAGGUUUCGAGCGUGGAGAAUCGUUAAAUCAAGAGCAGGUACCGCCAUAAACAAUAAGACAUUAGAAAAUUUCCUUCCUCCGUGUGCCAUGCCUUGAAAGGCUAUACAUGUGCUAAGGACGGUACGCACAGACGGUACACGUGUCAUCGGAACUUGACAUGCAUCCUUCUGAGUCAUCAACUAUGGAUGCAUCUAUAUGCUUUCAGCUGUGAAGAAAAUGACAUUUGCCGGCAGUGUUAUAGCUCUUGAGGAGGCUUAUGCUGAGAUACAAGCUAAUGAUAUAGCAAGCCUGUACCCAAACUAUUUGGCCCACUGUAAGAAGUUGUAUGAUCGUCGUCAGGCAU